GUAGGUGGCAAGCGUUGUCCGGAAUUAUUGGGCGUAAAGCGCGCGCAGGCGGUCCUUUAAGUCUGAUGUGAAAGCCCACGGCUCAACCGUGGAGGGUCAUUGGAAACUGGGGGACUUGAGUACAGAAGAGGAAAGCGGAAUUCCAAGUGUAGCGGUGAAAUGCGUGGAGAUUUGGAGGAACACCAGUGGCGAAGGCGGCUUUCUGGUCUGUAACUGACGCUGAGGCGCGAAAGCGUGGGGAGCAAACAGGAUUAGAUACCCUGGUAGUCCACGCCGUAAACGAUGAGUGCUAAGUGUUAGGGGGUUUCCCGCCCCCCUUAGUGCUGCAGCUAACGCAUUAAGCACUCCGCCUGGGGAGUACGGCCGCAAGGCUG
rnacentral:rRNA from 1 species